UGUAGUAAUACAAGGCAGACGGCUCAGUAACGCGUAGUCAACCUACCCUAUGGACGGGGAUAACCUCGGGGAACUGAGAAUAAUACCCGAUAGAACAUUAUGCCUGGAAUGGUUUAUGUUUCAAAUAAUUUAUUGCCGUAGGAUGGGACUGCGGCCUAUCAGUUUGUUGGUGAGGUAAUGGCCCACCAAGACUAUUACAGGUACGGGCUCUGAGAGGAGUAGCCCGGAGAUGGGUACUGAGACACGGACCCAGGCCCUAUGGGGCGCAGCAGGCGAGAAAACUUUGCAAUGUGCGAAAGCACGACAAGGUUAAUCCGAGUGGUUUCUGCUAAAGGAACCUUUUGUCAGUCCUAGAAACACUGAUGAAUAAGGGGUGGGCAAGUUCUGGUGUCAGCCGCCGCGGUAAAACCAGCACCUCAAGUGGUCAGGAUGAUUAUUGGGCCUAAAGCAUCCGUAGCCUGCUUUGUUAGUUUUCGGUUAAAUCCAUACGCUCAACGUAUGGGCUGCCGGGAAUACUGCAAAGCUAGGGAGUGGGAGAGGUAGACGGUACUCGGUAGGAAGGGGUAAAAUCCUUUGAUCUAUUGAUGACCACCUGUGGCGAAGGCGGUCUACCAGAACACGUCCGACGGUGAGGGAUGAAAGCUGGGGGAGCAAACCGGAUUAGAUACCCGGGUAGUCCCAGCUGUAAACUAUGCAAACUCAGUGAUGCAUUGGCUUGAUGCCAAUGCAGUGCUGCAGGGAAGCCGUUAAGUUUGCCGCCUGGGAAGUACGUACGCAAGUAUGAAACUUAAAGGAAUUGGCGGGGGAGCACCACAAGGGGUGAAGCCUGCGGUUCAAUUGGA
rnacentral:rRNA from 1 species